CUUCUAGAGGUGAUGAUGUUC
rnacentral:siRNA from 1 species